rnacentral:rRNA from 1 species
GAUGAACGCUAGCGGGAGGCUUAACACAUGCAAGUCGAGGGGCAGCAUAGGGUAGCAAUACUCUGAUGGCGACCGGCAAACGGGUGAGUAACGCGUAUGCAACCUACCCUGUACAGGGGGAUAACCCGGAGAAAUUCGGACUAAUAUCCCGUAAUAAUAUCCGGAGGCAUCUUUGGAUAUUUAAAGUUCCGACGGUACGGGAUGGGCAUGCGUAACAUUAGCUGGUUGGUAAGGUAACGGCUUACCAAGGCUAUGAUGUUUAGGGGUCCUGAGAGGGUGGUCCCCCACACUGGUACUGAGACACGGACCAGACUCCUACGGGAGGCAGCAGUGAGGAAUAUUGGUCAAUGGGCGCAAGCCUGAACCAGCCAUCCCGCGUGCAGGAAGACGGCCCUAUGGGUUGUAAACUGCUUUUCCAGGGGAGAGAAACUUACGCACGUGUUGCGUGACUGACGGUACCCUGGGAAUAAGCAUCGGCUAACUCCGUG